rnacentral:rRNA from 1 species
AUUGAACGCUGGCGGCAUGCCUAACACAUGCAAGUCGAACGGUAACAGGAAGAAGCUUGCUUCUUUGCUGACGAGUGGCGGACGGGUGAGUAAUGUCUGGGACACUGCCUUAUGGAGGGGGAUAACUACUGGAAACGGUAGCUAAUACCGCAUAACGUCGCAACACCAAAGAGCGGGACCUUCGGGCCUCUUGCCAUCGGAUGUGCCCAGAUGGCAUUAGCUAGUAGGUAGGGUAACGGCUCACCUAGGCGACGAUCCCUAGCUGGUCUGAGAGGAUGACCGGCCACACUGGAACUGAGACACGGUCCAGACUCCUACGGGAGGCAGCAGUGGGGAAUAUUGCACAAUGGGCGAAAGCCUGAUGGAGCAAUGCCGCGUGUAUGAAGAAGGUCUUCGGGUUGUAAAGUACUUUCAGCGGGGAGGAAGGGAGUUAAGUUAAUACCUUCACUCAUUGACGUUACCUGAAGAAAAAGCACCGGCUAACUACGUG